rnacentral:tRNA from 1 species
GUUUUAGUGGUGUAUUAAUAACACAUUAUAUUUUCACUAUAGAGCAGGGAAUUGAUUCCCCUAAAAUU